rnacentral:rRNA from 1 species
GCAAGUGAUGAGAGUAUGUUCGAGUAUCUAAAUGUUGUCAGCAAGAUGUUUGAUAGUGAGGCUGAAGGCUAUGAAUUCUACAACAAAUAUGCUCUUGAAAAAGGUUUUAGUGUGAGGAAAAGCUACGUUGAGUGGGAUGGAUCCAACAAAUACAUAAUUUUAAGGAAAAUUGUGUGUAGUCGUCAAGGGUUUCGCGAAGAGAAGCACAUGAAAAGAAAGAUGGAAGAUAGAAAGAGGAGGCCACGAAGUUUAACUCGUGUUGGGUGUAAUGCUAAAUUGGUCAUUACGAGACAGGAGGAAACCGGUCGGUGGUUUGUCAAGGAUUUCAUCGAUGAGCACAGCCAUCCUCUAGCCCCACGGGAUCUUUCUUGUCUGCUGCGUUCGCACAGACGAAUUGGCGAUGAGCAGAAAGCGGACAUUGCGGACAUGGAAAAAUGUGGGAUCCGCAAAUACCGUAUUAUGGAUAUUUUGUGCUUUCAAUACGGUGGAUUUGAUAAGGUUGGAUGCAUAAAGAGGGACAUUUAUAAUUUCUGCCAUGCUAAUAAGCAGGAGACAAUCAGUGCCGGUGAUGCUAAUACGGUGAUCAUGCACAUGAUGGCGAGGCGAGAGCGAGAUGUGGAUUUUUUCUUCAAGUACUUGGUAGACGAGCAUGGCCAUCUGAAGGGACUGUUCUGGGCUGAUAGUCAAUCGCGACUUGACUACGAGGCUUUCGGAGACGUCAUUGUUUUCGAUAGCACAUACAGAACCAACAAAUACAAUCUGCCAUUCGUGCCGUUUGUCGGGUUGAAUCACCACCGGAGCACUGUCAUUUUUGGCUGUGGUAUAAUUUCUCAUGAAACAAGCCAGGCAUACGAGUGGAUGUUGCGGACCUUUUCUGAUUGCAUGGCACAGAAGCAUCCGAUAUCUGUGAUGACAAAUGGGGACAUUGCAAUGCAGAGAGCAAUCAGGGUGGUCUGGCCAGACUCAAACCAUAGACUAUGUAUAUGGCACAUUCAGCAGAACAUUGUAUGCCAUCUGCAUGAUGACGACGUAAAGGAGGAAUUUAGAUCUUUCAUUUAUGAUACUUCUUCCAUUGAAGAGCAUGAGAUAGAAUGGAUAUACUUCUUACAACGGAAUAAAGUAACCAGUGAGGAGUCUUGGCUGCAUCAGAUGUAUCAAAUGAGAAAGUUGUGGUGUGCUCCAUAUCUUGAGGGACGUUGUUUCCUAGGAUUGAGCAGCAAUCAGAGGAGUGAGAGCUUGAACUCUGUGCUACAUACGCAUCUUGAGGGUAAGAUGUCGUUGUUUGAAAUGCUAGAGCACUAUGAGCGUUGCCUUGCGUCGCGACGGAUUAACGAAGCUCUCCAUGACGUCGAAGCCUUGCAGUCCGUUCCAUUUACAGAGGAAAAUGCUUCGCCGCUUGAGAAACACGCCGCAACAGUUUUCACACCUAGUGUCUUUAAGAUGGUCUUAUGGAGCAUAGAUACUGUCAGCAAAUGUCAGAUCAGAGAGAUACUAGAUGGAUCAGAAGAUUCCACUUAUGUUGUGUCCAAGCAGGAAAGAAUGGAUAAAAAGUUUGGAGUGCGCAUUGAAGAGCAAGGAGGUCUUUUGCACAGGGUGAGUUGUUCUUGCCGUAAGCUGGAAUGCGCAGGCACACCAUGUUCCCACAUUUUUUACAUAUUGGGGAUUUUAAAACAAACAAUUCUGCCCAGUUGUUGCGUUCCCACUAGGUGGACUAUGAAUGCAAAAUGU